AUGACCAAUACGCGAUGGAGCGAAAGUGCCAACCAGAAAGGUUAUGUUCCGGCAAGCUGCCCCAUGCAUCUCUUUGUACGGCAAUACACGAGGCUUCUUUUCGACCGGGAGGCCAGCACAACCUGGCCACAGAGGCGUGACCACGCUCAUAAAGCUAGGAAAGAGUCCAAAUGUUCAAACUGUGGAGUUAUAGGGGCUCAUCGGAAGAACAUCUGCAGCAACCCUAAGGAUGUGCAGGUGCUUUCAUGUAGUUGUCGCUGUCGUUUCGAGUUAUUCCCAUAUGUGAUUGAGAGUUGUUUUACCGUGAAUGGAGUUUUUGCUUUGUGUCCGUCCUAUUUUUGCUGCAAGGAGUGGUGUACCCUAUAUUGCACGCGGACGCCAGAGUUUUUGGCGCACUGUUACUCGUGCAGUUUGAUUUUUGAACGCGGGGAGAGGGAAGCCGCGUGCGUGUACAAGACCGAGACGCCGUCAAUUGUCAAACGGCCUUCCGCUAUCCACGUGCGUACAACCAUUAGUACAGCGCCGAAUACUGGCGUUUUCCGACCACCUGUACGCCCGGAAAUACCCCAUGCGGCUCACAUCACGAAACAAGGUAGUGGCUAA
rnacentral:rRNA from 1 species